rnacentral:misc_RNA from 1 species
GCAAACUUGGUCAUUUAGAGGAAGUAAAAGUCGUAACAAGGUUUCCGUAGGUGAACCUGCGGAAGGAUCAUUCAAAAUAAAAGUGAUUUUUUAUGGCACUUUUAAAACAAUCCAUAUCCACCUUGUGUGCAAUGUUUUUUUUUUAUUUUAAACUCUUUAAUAUAAUUUUGUCUGAAAUAUUUUUUAUGAAUUUACUUAAUUCUAAAAUAUAACUUUCAACAACGGAUCUCUUGGCUCUCGCAUCGAUGAAGAACGCAGC